rnacentral:rRNA from 1 species
CAGCAGCCGCGGGAAUACGGAGGGUGCAAGCGUUAAUCGGAAUUACUGGGCGUAAAGCGCACGCAGGCGGUCUGUCAAGUCAGAUGUGAAAUCCCCGGGCUUAACCUGGGAACUGCAUUUGAAACUGGCAGGCUGGAGUCUUGUAGAGGGGGGUAGAAUUCUAGGUGUAGCGGUGAAAUGCGUAGAGAUCUGGAGGAAUACCGGUGGCGAAGGCGGCCCCCUGGACAAAGACUGACGCUCAGGUGCGAAAGCGUGGGGAGCAAACAGGAUUAGAUACCCCAGUAGUCCCUGUCUCUUAUAC